UGACAAAAGCAGAAGCACCCGGCUUCUCACCUGUCUGACGCGGAUCGCUGUUAGCGGGUUGUUACGGUUCGUCUAUGAAAAGUCCGAUCGUAAAAGCAUGGGUGUCGUAUGCACUCAUGCUUUUUUGUAUGC
rfam:Anoxybacillus sp. B7M1, complete genome.